rnacentral:rRNA from 1 species
AUUGAACGCUGGCGGCAGGCCUAACACAUGCAAGUCGGGCGAGAGGCGGACGGGUGAGUAAUGUAUGGGGACCUGCCUGAUCGCGGGGGAUAACUACUGGAAACGGUAGCUAAUACUGCUUACCAUCCGAUGAACCCAUAUGGGAUUAGCUAGGAGGUAGGGUAACGGCUUACAUAGGCGACGAUCCCUAGCUGGUCUGCGAGGUGGAUCAGCCACACUGGGACUGAGACACGGCCCAGACUCCUACGGGAGGCAGCGGUGGGGAAUAUUGGACAAGGGGCUCAAGCCGUAUGCAGCCAGGCCGCGGGUAGGAAGAAGGCCUUCGGGUUGUAAAGUACUGGCAGUCGGGAGGCGUUACCUACAGAAGAAGCACCGGCUAACUCCGUGCCAGCAGCCGCGGUAAUUC